GAACGAGAAAGUGGAGCAAUCCAUGAGUAAAGUGGCGACCGGGUGAGUAACACGUGACUAACCUACCUCUUAGUGGGGAAUAACUCCGGGAAACCGGGGCUAAUACCGCAUAACAUCGCAAGAUCAAAGCCGAAAGGCGCUGGGAGAGGGGGUCGCGGCUGAUUAGCUAGUUGGCGGGGUAACGGCCCACCAAGGCGAAGAUCGGUAUCCGGCCUGAGAGGGCGCACGGACACACUGGAACUGAAACACGGUCCAGACUCCUACGGGAGGCAGCAGUGGGGAAUUUUGCGCAAUGGGGGAAACCCUGACGCAGCAACGCCGCGUGGAGGAUGAAGUCCCUUGGGACGUAAACUCCUUUCGACCAAGACGAUAAUGACGGUACUGGUGGAAGAAGCACCGGCUAACUCUGUG
rnacentral:rRNA from 1 species